CAGUCGCCGCGGUAAUACGGAGGGAGCUAGCGUUGUUCGGAAUUACUGGGCGUAAAGCGCGCGUAGGCGGUUACUCAAGUCAGAGGUGAAAGCCCGGGGCUCAACCCCGGAACUGCCUUUGAAACUAGGUGACUAGAAUCUUGGAGAGGUCAGUGGAAUUCCGAGUGUAGAGGUGAAAUUCGUAGAUAUUCGGAAGAACACCAGUGGCGGAGGCGACUGACUGGACAAGUAUUGACGCUGAGGUGCGAAAGCGUGGGGAGCAAACAGGAUUAGAUACCCCCGUAGUCCCUGUCUCUUAUAC
rnacentral:rRNA from 1 species